GCUUAACACAUGCAAGUCGACUGGAAUUCUUCUUCGGAAGAUAGUACGGUGGCGGACGGGUGAGUAACGCGUAAAGAAUUUGCCCUUCAGACUGGGACAACUAAUCGAAAGGUUAGCUAAUACCGGAUAUUAUGAGACCUUGGCAUCAAGGACUUAUGAAAGCUAUAUGCGCUGGAGGAGAACUUUGCGUUCCAUUAGCUAGUUGGUAGGGUAAUGGCCUACCAAGGCGACGAUGGAUAGCCGGCCUGAGAGGGUGAACGGCCACAAGGGGACUGAGACACGGCCCUUACUCCUACGGGAGGCAGCAGUGGGGAAUAUUGGACAAUGGAC
rnacentral:rRNA from 1 species